rnacentral:lncRNA from 1 species
AUCUUAGGAAACGUGGAUUCUUCUUGGCAAAUAUGGAUCUAGAUUAGUCAUGCCAAUCUCCGCAGACUUCAUCUGGAUGCUUAGUGCUCCUGAAACUUGGCCAUCUCUGCCUUCAGGCAGUGUUACUCUGGUGCUGAUUCCACUUCACGGGAACAUUUCUGAAUGAGGACUGAAGCACCUCCAGUUGUUCAGAGGAAAUGUUAUCACACAUCGGUGGACAAAACAGGCAAGCCACUUUACAACAGGAUGAAUGAAGGAAGGCUCCAAGAAUGUCCAAAGUUUCCAUAGCUGAACUAUUUC